UGGUAGCUAUAUAUAUAUACAUAUAUAUACUGUAUGUAUAUAUGUAUAUAUAUAUAUUUAUAUUAUAUUUUUUUGCUUAAGAGGUCAUUCUCAUGAAAGUAAUGCUUUUAGUCAUAAAAAUGUGCAUUUUAGUAAAAUAACAAACAUAAAACUUAAAAAAAAACAUAAAAAUAAAGCUAAUAAUUUUCUCUACAUGGAUCAAAGAGUAAAUUCAACGUAGAAUUAAUUUUAUUUAUAUUUUCUUACAUUUUAUGACAACUAUCACGUUGCAAUUUGUCCAAAUUUUCUGAAUGUAUGUUAUGUUGUUAUUUAACAACUUAACACAAAUUUAUCCUAGAGAAAAAUGGAUGCUCUACUGUUUUGAUGUGACUGAAAAAUUACUAAUUCAAUGUAUAUGUUUAAUAAUACUGAAAAAAUAGAGGAAAAAUUAAGUGGCCAUGUUUUUCCAGAGCUUUCAAGUCGGCUACCAUCAUAAGAAUAUGAUAUUCUCAUGAUAUUUUGACAUAUUAGGAUGUAAUGUUUUUUGAAUUUUUUUUUUCAUUUUAAGGCAAAUCGGUUUUUUUCGCAAUAGUAAGACUAUGGUCUUGCUUGUUUUUGGUCAUAUUUUGACAUGAUCAUAUACCAUGAGUUUUUGGCACAAAAUAUUUACUUGGCAGCAUUUUUUGGGCCAUAAACAUGCAUUUAAAUUAAUUUCUCUGACUUUUUUUUUUAUUUUUCAACAUUUUUUGCUAUAGUAAGACUACAGGCUUGAUUGUUUUUGGUGAUAUUUUGACAUUUUGAUAUUUUGUUCAGAUAUGAUGUUUUGGGAGUUUUUAACACAAAUCUUGUGGGAAAUUUUUCUGUGAUAGUAAGGCUUGUUUUGGGUGAUAUUUCGCCAUGUUCAGAUAAUUUGUUUUUAGUUUAUAGCACAAAUUAUUCACUUGGCAGCAUGUUUUGGGUCUUAUCGAGGGUACAUAUUUAAGCAUGUGUGCCCGCUCGUGAUAUAUAUGAUAUAUGAUUAUGUAAAUCCCUCCAGGUGUAAUAGCAAACCCGUAUCGCCAUCACCUGGGCCGGUGGACUCCACGACGCCAAGAAGUCUGAAUCAUCUGGUUGCUGUUACGUGAAUGACAUCGUCCUGGCCGUUUUUGAGCUGCUCAAGCUAAAAGAAGAGGUUUAACCAAGUUGUUCCACUCCUGAUGAUGGGACUUUUGUUGAAUCCCGUGAGCACGUGGUGGUGAGUAUGUGAACUGUCCAUCUUUACCUGAAGUGUUAAAAUAAAGCUGAGAGUUACUGUUGUAAUUUGACUUGUAGUGAAAUGUGUAUCUAUGGACUUGUGGAGUGUUUCUGCAAUUAAAAGAGUCAAAAGUUGUUGUUAUUUCAUUCAUUGUACAAGUGUUGUGGUUGGUUUCUUUAACUUAGCUUUUUACUUAAUGCUUACUUUUUACUACUUAGCAUUUUACUGUCUUAGGGCAUAAACUUGCAUUUCGAGGUAUUUAUCGGACUUUCAUUUAUUUGACUUAUUUUUAACAGUAACACUCUAGUUUUACCUGUUUUUGGUUCAUCUUCAUGAAAUCAUUAGUACACCAUGGAAGUAAUUGUAGUAAUAAAACAUACAUUUGUAAUAAAGAAAUUAAUUUUAUUUACGUUUCAAAGUUUUAUGACAACUUUCUCAUUACUGCUAUGCAUCCAGGUUUGUGUGAAGGCAUGCUGUUAUUUUAACAGAUUAAGACAGAUGUUUAGAACAUUUAAUGGACACUAACUAUGAUAUGAUUUCAUAGUUAAGUAAAUGAAAUAUUACUAGUUAAAUGUAUUGCAAUACAUUUAGCAGACACUUUGAAUGAAAGCGACUUACGAUUUGAGUCAAUCAACAAGAGGAGACCUUUAUUUUUGGGCUUGAUUUUGGAUUGAUGUCUCAAAAAUACAAAUAAUAAAUAGUAAAAGUACAGUUAUAGGUCAUAGAAUAAGAAGUAUCUUUAUGUAAAAGUAGAGGAAAAAUGGGUGUUAGCCUAAGGGGAUACAUCUGAAUGUGGUGACCUGGGUUGACUUCAGGCAAGGUAAUUGUGAAGGUUUACGUCAAUCAGCCACAGCGUUAUGUUCAAACUGACUGUUGCAGCUUUCAUUCUUUUUCCAAAUAACAUUUCAAAGGUCAGUGUUAUAUCUUGCCCAAGGCUUUAACUGCUAGGAGAUAUUAAAUUAAACCUUCAUCAGCGUAAUAGUACUUUUAUUAAGUAGAAUACUGUAGUACACUUUCCACCUCUGACUGUGUGAUUGUGUGAUAGACUCUUCAGAGACUGAGCUGUAUGGCACAUAGUUACAACCAAACUCCAAAAACAUCAUA